GUGCGCGGUCGGGCCUGCGGCGCUCACAGGUGCGCGCGUCGGAGGGAGUGUGGCACGGAGUGGAGAGGGGCUGGUCUCAGACCUGGGGGUGCGGAGAGGCUGAGGGGCCGGGAGCGCCGCAGCGGGGAGGCCGGGGUCUGGCCGUUGGCCUGGGGGUUGUGAGUCACCGCCACUCCUUUCCGCCCGCGGGCGCUCAGCGGAGGACGGCGUGGGGGUGGGGGUGGCCUGUACCCGGAACCCAGUGCAUGAAGCGCGGGCGCCCAGCCGGAAGGCGAAGCGGAGCCCGGCGCCGAGAGGUUCGGUUCCGUCCAGUCGCGCUGUGGAGGGACAGGGCGUCCCCAGCCGCCUGCCUUUGCCACUAGGAUUCUGAUGUCCCGUUCACCUCAGCGCUGUGGAGACGACACGCUAUGGAAUCAGACCUUUUUUUUGGAUCCCCUAUGCAGUUUUUAAAAAGGAGGCUUAUGUGAAAGGGUUGGGAUGCCUGAAUAUUUGAAUAGACAAGACUCAUCGAAGAGAGCUGCUGUUCCUCCCAUUCUAUGGACAAGGGAAAGAGGCCUAGCAGUGCAGAGUGCUGCUGAUGUUCUGCAUUUGGGAAGAGUUGGGACAUGAUGAGAAUAACAUCAGCUUUUUUUCUCUCUUCUUUUUCCUCAAACUCAUUUGUUUUUGUCAUUUUUUUUAUUUUGCAGGACAGUUUUGAUAGACUUAAUACCCAGAGGGCAGGUUUAAUUACCAAAUGGGGCUUUAUAUCUUUGGGAAAUUCUCAGGUACUUGGCUCAUGAAUUUUUAAAAUCUUCAUUUCCCCCCAGAGUUAUACAGUUAAAUGAGCCAGGUGUUUUGUCAGGGAUGGUUAAAAUAGAAAGCACUGCUCAGCCCCUACCUUCAUUGCCUUUUCUCACUAAACCCUUUCAACUCUUAGCCGUUGAGUAUUUAUCCCUAGUUUUUCAAGGAACACAUUUGAAUUGCUGUUACUUGAAUUUUCAGUCUAGGAUAUAACUUUUUGCCUGGUCGUCUUUAUCCUUAUCAGUAACUUCACUCAAAAUUUUCUGUCAGUUGUCCAAUUUUCCUGUACAGUGAUAUCUCAGUUCAUGAAUUUAAUUUGUUCUACGAUUUUGGAAAAGAUAGCCAUGUUUGUGUUUGUGCAGGAAAGAUGGCUGCAGUCAUGUUUGUCACCUGAUGUACAGUUUGCAAACAAAAACAAGAUUUUGCCAAAUGCUUCUGUUUGUGAACCAAAUUAUUUGCAUACGAAAGUGUUCAUGAAGGGAGGCACCACAUAUUCUUUUUUUUUUUUGUACUGGAAAUCAAACUCAGGG
rnacentral:lncRNA from 1 species